GACGAACGCUGGCGGCGUGCUUAACACAUGCAAGUCGAGCGGUAAGGCCCUUUCGGGGGUACACGAGCGGCGAACGGGUGAGUAACACGUGAGCAACCUGCCCUUCUCUUUGGAAUAAGCGUUGGAAACGACGUCUAAUGCCGAAUAUGACCCCCUGUCGCAUGGUGGGGGGUGGAAAGCUCUGGCGGAGAAGGAUGGGCUCGCGGCCUAUCAGCUUGUUGGUGUGGGUAAUGGCCCACCAAGGGGACGACGGGUAGCCGGCCUGAGAGGGUGACCGGCCACACUGGGACUGAGACACGGCCCAGACUCCUACGGGAGGCAGCAGUGGGGAAUAUUGGACAAUGGGCGAAAGCCUGAUCCAGCAACGCCGCGUGAGGGAUGACGGCCUUCGGGUUGUAAACCUCUUUCAGCAGGGACGAAGCGAGAGUGACGGUACCUGCAGAAGAAGGACCGGCCAACUACGUGCCAGCCGCCGCCGUAACAC
rnacentral:rRNA from 1 species